rnacentral:rRNA from 1 species
GACGAACGCUGGCGGCGUGCUUAACACAUGCAAGUCGAACGGACAGGCCCUGCUUUUGUGGGGUGCUCGAGUGGCGAACGGGUGAGUAACACGUGAGUAACCUGCCCUUGACUUUGUGAUAACUUCACGAAACUGGGGCUAAUACCGGAUAUGAUCUCCUGCUGCAUGGGGGGGGUUGGAAAGUUUCGGCGGUUGGGGAUGGACUCGCGGCUUAUCAGCUGGUUGGUGGGGUAGUGGCUUACCAAGGCUUUGACGGGUAGCCGGCCUGAGAGGGUGACCGGCCACAUUGGGCCUGAGAUACGGCCCAGAAUCCUACGGGAGGCAGCAGGGGGGAAUAUUGCACAAUGAGGGGAAGCGAGAUGCAGCAACGCCGGGUGCGGGAUGACGGCCUUCGGGUUGUGAACCGAUUUCGACUGUGACGAAGCGUGAGUGACGGUAAUGGGUAAAGAAGCAACGGCUAACUACGUG